rnacentral:lncRNA from 1 species
UUAGGUCCUCCUAGGGUUGUCGUAGCUACUUGUUUGAGUUUGAUAUGAACAAUCCGGUGAAGUGAAGAGGCAACACAAUGCUCUGCUCUCUUCUUUUCAAGCAUAGCGGAGAGGGAAAAAGCCUGAACAAGAAGAUUCGCCCUAGGGGAUAGAGGAUGAAAAUGUACUGAAUUUGUACUCACUGUUCCUCUGCAGAAAAAAGGAAUGGCAUCCAAAAUGGGAUUGAAAUGGCUUUGAACGUUUUCCUUGAAUGCAACAUCAGAUCCUUUUCGGGACUGAAGAGGAAGGGAGGCAUUGGGAAAGAAGUGAAGUGGGGAUCAGUGAGGCAGGACUUAGGAAGCUCACUGGAAGAGUGGAGGCACCUGUG